CCUACGGGUGGCAGCAGUGAGGAAUAUUGGUCAAUGGACGGAAGUCUGAACCAGCCAUGCCGCGUGCAGGAUGACGGCUCUAUGAGUUGUAAACUGCUUUUGUAUUAGGGUAAACACCCCUACGUGUAGGUGCUUGAAAGUAUAAUACGAAUAAGGAUCGGCUAACUCCGUGCCAGCAGCCGCGGUAAUACGGAGGAUCCAAGCGUUAUCCGGAUUUAUUGGGUUUAAAGGGUGCGUAGGCGGAUUUUUAAGUCAGCGGUAAAAUGUCCGGGCUCAACCCGGGCCGGCCGUUGAAACUGGGGAUCUUGAGUGGGCGAGAAGUAUGCGGAAUGCGUGGUGUAGCGGUGAAAUGCAUAGAUAUCACGCAGAACUCCGAUUGCGAAGGCAGCAUACCGGCGCCCGACUGACGCUGAGGCACGAAAGCGUGGGGAUCGAACAGGAUUAGAUACCCGAGUAGUC
rnacentral:rRNA from 1 species